CUGUACUCAGUCGGUGGGUCGGGCGCGGGGUGGGGAGGGGAGUGGUUACUGAAGAAUGAAAGGAGACCCUCCCGGGGGAUGCGGGAGGGGAAGGAGAGGGAAUUGGGGCUGACUGGGCAGAAGAAGGCGAGGGUGAGAGGCGCAAGGGAGAUUAGAGUGAAGAAGGAACGACUAAGGGAGAGUCUGACGUAGGGUUGAGGGGUGGAGAUGCGGCCAGACUUGGAGGGGGCCAUUGAGGAAGGACUGGUCAGUGGAAAGACUGAAGGCUAUUGGAGGAGUUAAACUAAGAGGGAGGGUUCAGAUCAGGGACCUAAUAUCCAGCCAGGAAAAGGGCCCCAGACCGAAACAGGGAGUCCAAGAAGUCGUAUCCUGUCGUUUCCAGUAUAGUGGGUUCUUAGACUUAGCCGUUGUUGAUCAGAGAAGUCGUCUGAAAGAUUCUUCUCCCAUAUAGGCCACCUACGGAGUAUGGAGUAUGGAGUAGAGUUCCUUGUGCUAUAUAGUUUCUCAGGAGGCAAGUCAGGUGGUCUGGUAUUCCCAACUCUAAGGAUGUCCCACAGUUUGUUGUGGUCCACACAGUCAAAGGCUUUGGAUUAAAGAGAAGAUAAAAGCAAAACAGGAAGUCUGAUGUGAUCCUGGCUGAUUUGAGA
ensembl:lncRNA